rnacentral:rRNA from 1 species
UACGGAGGAUCCAAGCGUUAUCCGGAAUCAUUGGGUUUAAAGGGUCCGUAGGUGGACAAUUAAGUCAGAGGUGAAAUCCUGCAGCUCAACUGUAGAAUUGCCUUUGAUACUGGUUGUCUUGAAUUAUUGUGAAGUAGUUAGAAUAUGUAGUGUAGCGGUGAAAUGCAUAGAUAUUACAUAGAAUACCAAUUGCGAAGGCAGAUUACUAACAAUACAUUGACACUGAUGGACGAAAGCGUGGGGAGCGAACAGG